CUUAAAAGAAGGAUGGAUACCCCGCCGUUUUAGGCGUGGGAGGAAAGUCCAGGCAACAGGAAGCACGGUGUCCCAAUUAAGGUUUGGGAGGUCUGCUCAUUUUUUGAGCAGGGACAGUUAGAGCCACAGAGACGAGUUCUUACUUUUUUUAAAUAAAAAGUAGAGGUGAAACGAUCGCCGGAGGCGAUACGCCUACCUUUGGUAGGCGGGGCAAUCCUCCCGGUUGCAAUCCAGAAUAAAGAUGGUCGCUUCCGCCGUAAUCUUUAAGUUUGGAGCAUUAGAUAGAUUUCCAUCAAAAACAGAACCUGGCUUAUUUUCUUUUAAGGGCU
rnacentral:RNase_P_RNA from 2 species